rnacentral:rRNA from 1 species
GACGAACGCUGGCGGCGCGCCUAAUGCAUGCAAGUCGAGCGACGCAUAUCGGAGGAGUAAUCCACUGGUAUGACGGAGCGGCGAACGGGUGAGUAUCACGUGAGAAACCUGCCCCGAAGACCGGGAUAGCCCGGGGAAACCCGGAUUAAUACCGGAUAUUCUCUACAGAUCGCAUGGUCUGUUGAGGAAAUGCCUUUGUGCUUCGGGAUGGUCUCGCGACCUAUCAGCUAGUUGGUGAGGUAAUGGCUCACCAAGGCAACGACGGGUAGCUGGUCUGAGAGGACGAUCAGCCACACUGGGACUGAGACACGGCCCAGACUCCUACGGGAGGCAGCAGCAGGGAAUCUUGUCCAAUGGGCGAAAGCCUGAGACAGCGACGCCGCGUGGGGGAUGAAGGCCUUCGGGUUGUAAACCCCUUUCAGGAGGGACGAAAUUGACGGUACCUCCAGAAGAAGCCCCGGCCAACUACGUG